CCGGUUCUCGCCUCGUGGCGUUUCUCGCUGGGGCCUCCAAAUGUUGUACUUGAAUGAGUUAGAGAAAAUGCCACACUUUCACAUGAAUUAAGAGUCUGCUUAUUU
rnacentral:pre_miRNA from 1 species